CCCCAAACAUGUUGUGGGACAUUACAAAGCUCACAUCCUCUGUGCCCAUGACUCUUCGUGAUUCCAGCAACCGUGGCCGAGGGGCCAGGCUCGCGGGCACCGUGAUGCGAGAGGAAGGACGAAAGAGGAUAAGUGAGGAAGAUGAGAACCGGGCAAGCCCUCUUACACUCUGCUUGUUCCACUUAGCUCACUGAUGGUAACUGCCCAAACACUACUCUAUGAGGACUCAAGGACACUCUCUUCCCAAAGCAAGUUUUUGGCUUUUUAAAGGUGAUUUCCAGUA